rnacentral:tRNA from 1 species
GCCUCUGUCGCUCAGUGGAAGAGCACUGAUCUUGUAAAUCAGGGGUCGUAAGUUCAAUCAUCACAGGAUGCA